rnacentral:rRNA from 1 species
UGAGAUGUUGGGUUAAGUCCCGCAACGAGCGCAACCCUUGUCUUUAGUUGCCAUCAUUAAGUUGGGCACUCUAGAGAGACUGCCAGGGAUAACCUGGAGGAAGGUGGGGAUGACGUCAAAUCAUCAUGCCCCUUAUGCUUAGGGCUACACACGUGCUACAAUGGGUAGUACAGAGGGUUGCCAAGCCGUAAGGUGGAGCUAAUCCCUUAAAGCUACUCUCAGUUCGGAUUGUAGGCUGAAACUCGCCUACAUGAAGCUGGAGUUACUAGUAAUCGCAGAUCAGAAUGCUGCGGUGAAUGCGUUCCCGGGUCUUGUACACACCGCCCGUCACACCACGGGAGUUGGAGACGCCCGAAGCCGAUUAUCUAACCUUUUGGAAGAAGUCGUCGAAGGUGGAAUCAAUAACUGGGGGGAAGUCGUAACAAGGUAGCCGUAUCGGAAGGUGCGGCUGGAUCACCUCCUUUCUAAGGA